UACGGGGGGGGCAAGCGUUGUUCGGAAUUACUGGGCGGAAAGGGCUCGUAGGCGGCCAACUAAGUCCGACGUGAAAUCCCCAGGCUUAACCUGGGAACUGCGUCGGAUACUGGAUGGCUUGAAUCCGGGAGAGGGAUGCGGAAUUCCAGGUGUAGCGGUGAAAUGCGUAGAUAUCUGGAGGAACACCGGUGGCGAAGGCGGCAUCCUGGACCGGCAUUGACGCUGAGGAGCGAAAGCCAGGGGAGCAAACGGG
rnacentral:rRNA from 1 species